rnacentral:tRNA from 1 species
GGUCUCGUAGCUCAGCUGGUAGCGCAUGCGUGUACAAAAGCCUAGGCGGCGUCCAUGCGUGGGUCCGAAUCCCACCGAGACUG